ACAAACAAAAAUGGCUUGACAAACCAUUUGGCAAAAAAGCAAACCAUCUCAUGGUCGAGGUGUAACGGUGUCCAAACCCCGUGACCAGGUCGCGAGGUUGGGGUGCGGAGAGACAACGCUUUCUCUUUCGGUCGGGUCCUCGUUGGCAGAGGCGCACCGAGAGAGCCUUGGGCCGUCGCAGCCGUACAGGCUCCGUCGCCUUAAAUUCUCUCUUGGUCGUGUCCUCGUUGGCAGAGGCGCACCGAGAGAGCCUUGGGCCGUCGCAGCCGAACAAGCUGCGUCGCCUUAAAUUCAGACGAGCUCGACCGCGACCCGGGCUUUGACGGGGAAGGUCGCAUAACACCGCUCGGCAUCGUCGGUCAUUGUUCCGAUGUUGUAAGCGCCCGAGUAUGUACUUCUCACGUAUACGAAAUCCUUAUUUUGACGAGGAAGGGGUCGGGAGCAGGCAAAGUCCCUCGGCUUUUCUUUCCUCGGUCGCGUCAGGCGUACCUCGUUGCGCGCCUCGACCGGCCGAAUCACUUUUGGCAUCUAUUGA
rnacentral:misc_RNA from 1 species